UCUCAUGAACUGUGUAAACACAUUGCUGCUUGAGUUCAAGAAAUAUCACUCCAUCACAUUUUCAUAUUUGUACAAUUCUGAAAAAAAUCAGUCUAGUUGGCAUCACUGUCGACAAACAAACACAAAAACAAAAAAAAAACAAGAACUGUUCGUUUUUUGCGGUUCAUAGCCCAACUCCCGGACGCCGUACCAGCAGCAUCCUCUCCGGUUCGACGAACGGCAAUUAACGGCUGAGAUAAGGACAAACCGGAUUUACAGGAAAACGGACACCAACGAUGUUCAAACAGCAACAUAUUCGCUGGGGAAGAAAGGUCCCGCUUGGAGUAACCUUCCUGACAUCCGGAUUCAGCAGCUACGAAAACGUUCAGGUAGAUUCGGAUGGUGAGGAGCACCUCAUACGAACCUGGUAACUGUAAAUUCGAUCAUACAGUCUAAACAGACUGGUCCUGAAUUGGAACCCGCCGCUCCAGGAGGAUAUGUUCAUUAUUAUUAUUAUGUAAAGUGAAUAAAAGUAUAACAUAGAAGUUAAUAAAAUGAAAAUAAAAUCAUAA